UACGUAGGUGGCAAGCGUUGUCCGGAAUUAUUGGGCGUAAAGCGCGCGCAGGUGGUUUCUUAAGUCUGAUGUGAAAGCCCACGGCUCAACCGUGGAGGGUCAUUGGAAACUGGGGAACUUGAGUGCAGAAGAGGAAAGUGGAAUUCCAAGUGUAGCGGUGAAAUGCGUAGAGAUUUGGAGGAACACCAGUGGCGAAGGCGGCAUCCUGGACCGGUAUUGACGCUGAGGAGCGAAAGCCAGGGGAGCAAACGGG
rnacentral:rRNA from 1 species